GUUCAUAUCUUCUGUCCAUUUCUUGAUGGAUUAUUUGUUUUUUGGAUGAGUUUAAUAAGUUCUUAUUUGAGUUUAAUAAGUUCUUUACAGGGAUCCCUGGGUGGCGCAGCGGUUUGGCGCCUGCCUUUGGCCCAGGGCGCGAUCCUGGAGACCCGGGAUCGAAUCCCACGUCGGGCUCCCGGUGCAUGGAGCCUGCUUCUCCCUCUGCCUAUGUCUCUGCCUCUCUCUCUCUCUCUCUGUGACUAUCAUAAAUAAAUAAAAUUUAAAAAAAAUAAGUUCUUUACAGAUUUUGGAUACUAAUCCUUUAUCUAUUAAGACUUUUCGAGUAUUUUCUCCCAUUCUGUUCAUUGUCUUUUAGUUUUCUCGAAUGUUUCCUUUACUGUGCAAAAGCCUUUUAUUUUGAUGAAGUCCCAGUAGUUCAUUUUUGCUUUUGUUUCCUUUGCCUUUGGAGAUAUGUCUAACAAGAAGUUGCUGCAGUCGAGAUUGAAGAGAUUGCUCCCUGUGUUCUUCUCUAGGAUUUUGAUGGAUUCCUGUCUCACAUUUAGAACACUAGAAUUUUAAAAAUUUAUAAUGGAAUGAAAGGAAAAUAAACAUUUAUAGCAUAAAAUGGAAACCAGCUUGAAGAGCUACGAAUAAAUGUAAGCUAACUAAAUGAAAUCUAGUUUAAUAUACUUUACAAUGUUUCAUCAAAGUAUUAUUUCAGCUGACUGGUAAUAAUCAGUUAAAUUAAUCUUAAUGAUCUGUCACUUCACAUAAGCAUACAUGAGCAUAAUGAGCAUAGGGUAUGAUGCUUUUUUACAUUGUUUAUCUUUCUAUGUUGUGUCCAGAGAACACCAAGUUUUUGCCAUCUAAUUAUUAAAAUUAAGCUGGAAAUAUGAUUAACAAGAUGCCCAAUGAAUGAUGGAAAUGUUCUAUAUCUUGAAAGAAGUGUGGGUUACAUGGAUGGAUCCAUUUGUAAAAAUGGUACAGUUAAGAUUGGUGCAUUUCAAUUUGGGUAGACACUACCUUAAGAAAAGAACUAUACAAAAACAAACAUUUAGUGGGAGGUGGAGAGUGGAAGGGAAGGUGUAGAUGAAACAAGACAAGAUGUUGUAAAGCUGGGUGAUAUGUACAUUGAAGUUAUGCUGUAUGCUCUCUGUGUUGAACUUUUUCCACCAAUGUUAAAGUUAUUACUUGUGAUUUAAGUUUGUAAAUGUCAAUUCAAUUCUACUCUAGCAAAGCAAAGGAAAGCAAAAGAGAAUAAAACAGAAGCAUUCUCUUGAAAGAAUCUAAAGUAAUCCAUUUCCAUAAAAAGGCAAUUUCUUCACAUACCAACUGAUGUCCUUGUAUUAUACAUUAAGAUUUUCUUCCUCUCUGUCAUAACAAGCAAUGUUCUCAAAGACAUUUCAGUGAUCUAAAUUGAGUUUUACAGAUACUGUACUGCUAGUAAAAUUUGCUUUAAAAUGAAAAAUAAUCCAGUAAGGUACAUGUGAAGAUGCCUGGAGACACUGUGGACAAAGAGCAUGCACAAAUGACUACACAGAUGCCAGGGAUGCCAUUAAACUGGAAUCGGAAUGCCCACUGAAGGAAAGAAGCACUUAAGAUUGAGUUGGAAAUGACUUUAUUCCAAAGAAGAAACUAAACCCAUCUAAUAUGUUUAUGAUUGUUGGUUUUACUUCAUUAGUUUGUUAUUCAUAUUCCCAAGGAAGUCUAUUCUCAGUAACAUUUAUCAAGUGAACCAUGGAGGCUGAUCACAGUAAUCUUACUUUUAUCCUUCGGGGUAGAUAGAGAUGCUUUUUAACUAUAAAAUUAUUUAAUCUGUUCAGAGUUUAGGCUUUAUUUAGCUUUACUGAUUUUACCUAGAGUUGAAACAUCUUGAAAAAUAUCCUCAUUUUUAAUCUUCCAUCAUUUUGGCUCUUACCUGAUGUGAACUUUGGUUGAACUCAGUUGAUUUCCCAUCUCAAUAAAUAUGAAAUCAAUC
rnacentral:lncRNA from 1 species